GAUGAACGCUGGCGGCGUGCCUAAUACAUGCAAGUCGAGCGAACGGACGAGAAGCUUGCUUCUCUGAUGUUAGCGGCGGACGGGUGAGUAACACGUGGAUAACCUACCUAUAAGACUGGGAUAACUUCGGGAAACCGGAGCUAAUACCGGAUAAUAUUUUGAACCGCAUGGUUCAAAAGUUAAAGACGGUCUUGCUGUCACUUUUAGAUGGAUCCGCGCUGCAUUAGCUAGUUGGUAAGGUAACGGCUUACCAAGGCAACGAUGCAUAGCCGACCUGAGAGGGUGAUCGGCCAAACUGGAACUGAGACACGGUCAAGACUCCUACGGGAGGCAGCAGUAGGGAAUCUUCCGAAAUGGGCGAAAGCCUGACGGAGCAAAGCCGCGUGAGUGAUGAAGGUCUUCGGAUCGUAAAACUCUGUUAUUAGGGAAGAACAUAUGUGUAAGUAACUGUGCACAUCUUGACGGUACCUAAUCAGAAAGCCACGGCUAACUACGUG
rnacentral:rRNA from 1 species